rnacentral:rRNA from 1 species
UACGUAGGGGGCAAGCGUUGUCCGGAAUCACUGGGCGUAAAGUGCACGUAGGCGGAUUGUUAAGUCAGGGGUGAAAUCCUGGAGCUCAACUCCAGAACUGCCUUUGAUACUGGCGAUCUCGAGUCCGGGAGAGGUGAGUGGAACUGCGAGUGUAGAGGUGAAAUUCGUAGAUAUUCGCAAGAACACCAGUGGCGAAGGCGGCUCACUGGCCCGGUACUGACGCUGAGGUGCGAAAGCGUGGGGAGCAAACAGG